AUUUAAAACAUCCGAGGAGAUCUUGACCCUAUACAAUGUGAAUUGAGGCAGCUGGUUAAAAAAAAACAGUAUAAUAUUUGCUGCCAUUUCGUAGAGUUGCUAGCUGUACAUACUGCACUUAUCAUUAAAUUAAUGGACGUUAGCUAGUUGUUUACACUUUCAAACCACUUAGCUCAUGACUUAAUUAACGGUCCUGUAUGAUAACUAAUACUUACACACUUUUUGGAACAAAUUGACACUUUUCAAGCAAUUUACGUUAACAAAGUAACGUUAGCCUUCCUGCAAAAAUUUGCAAACAGGGAACUUUACCUGAAAAAGCACUCGGAAGUGGCCAGUAGCUGUGGUCUCUCCCCGACAAAACCGACCAGAGACGAGAUGAGCUAGUGCGCUGCCAGGUGGUCAACAACACAACGUCGUCAAAAUAAAAGCAUCCUAGGCACCUCUCAGCCAAUGAGGGAUGGAUCAGAGGCAAAGCUUCAGAAUUCCCCCCCAGCUUCAUGUCUGGAGAGAGAAACACCAUAUCAGAUGGUUUUCUUUGUGGAGUCUAAUGGCUUAUUGCUGAGCUAAGAAAAUAGAGGGAAAAACCCAAAGGAGAGACACAAAGGCAGAUGGAGGAGUCGAGGAGGGUAAGGAGGAGCCCUGAGGGCAGCGGUGAUGAAAGGAGAAAAGAGGCACAGAGCAUGUCGAGGCCAUCAGGAGAGGAUGCAGAGAGGACCCAGUCACUUUUCCAGUACAUGUAAACAAACACUUUUGGUAACCGAGGCUUCAACCGAGCAACCCUGAAGUCACGAGACAUUCUGUAUAACACAGGAGAACAUGUUUGGGAAGGAAAGCUCAUGAAAUUCUCAUCACACCUAUUAACCUAAGAUGUAUUUUUAUCUUAUUUGUAGUUUAGUAUCUUAUUAAAGAUUCUAAAGCUUGUGCUAGCAAGGCUCCAUGUUCAAGUCCUCAGAGCAACUCUGGAAAUUUAUGGAGGGGAUGUCUCAGCGGAGCACUCCUUCCUCCCUUAUAGUUUUCUUAUCUAUUGUACUUCUUUCUGAUUGUGACUUGAACAAAAUAAACCUCAGUUCUCGUUCUGUUCCUCACACUGUUUCUUUUUGGCAUCCUUGAUCUAAUAGUUAUGCUUGGAUGUUGCAUUUCUUUGUUCUUCAUUCUUCUGGUGUUAUUACCAAGUUAUGUUUUGUUAUUCCACUGCUUCCUUUAUUGAAGUUCCUUGAAUAUUGCAGACUUGUGUGAAUUUGUACAUGUACCCUGCACUCUUGACAUUGCUGUACUGGCAUUUUCAGUUCUUAGAUAUUUGUGCUGGUUUUAGUAAAGCUUCAGGAAUUGGACCCUAUUCAUCUGUUGUUUCAAGCUUCUGAAUAACAUUUUCUGUCGUUGUUGCCUAAGAGGUAAAUGUGAAUGAAAUGUAAAUGUCAGGUUAAGUUUAUUUGUAUAGCUGAAUAUCGUGUGUUGUAAAAUACAUCAGUGCUUUGCGGGCCCACAACAGUUUUUGACCCAUUUCAAGAUCUCUAAGGGAAAAACAGGAAAUCUUCCAAAAAACCUUUGGACCCAGGGAAAAAAAUAGAAUAAUCUUUGGGAGAUAAAAUUCAAAAAGAGAUUUCCCCACCU